UGCAGAUGUGAUCUUUACUUUCAAUGACAAAAACGCAACCUUGACAUGCAAUGCCACAGAUAACAACUCAUAUUAUGUUGGUUGGUACCACCUAGGUCAAUCAGUAACUGGCACUAGAUACACCGUUACCAACUUGACACACGUCACUGUAUUGGUGAUAACUUCUCCAACUCGAGAAGAUUCCGGAGAGUAUGUGGCCACUUUCUUGAAAACUGGAGGCACUCAAGAGAAUUGUACCAUCAAGUAUACAGCUACCCCUCUUGUUCUUGAUCUGGCCAAGUCUAAAAAUCUUGAGAAGGACCAGGACCUUGACCUUCACUGUGAUGUCAAGGGUUACCCUGGGUCAGUGGUGUCCUGGUCAAGAGAUGGGAUAGACCUGACAAAUACCACCAGCCGUGUGACACUAAAGAAUGAUGGCAUAGUUGAGAAUGCCUAUUUGCAUAUCAAAUCUCUGGAGU
rnacentral:sRNA from 1 species